rnacentral:sRNA from 1 species
GAGUUAAACCGCCAGAUCGAGCGCCUUUUCCUUUUCGAUAUAGGUGCGCUGCAGAUCGGUGACGUAGUCGCGAACGAUCGGCGCCGCGUCUCGUGAACGCGACAGCUGCAUAUGGAAGACGAGCUGGCUGCCGGUGCGGAACAUCAUUUCCGCGCUGAUCAGGUAGAACUCCCACAU